rnacentral:tRNA from 1 species
GCCUGGCUGGCUCAGCCAGGAGAACAUGGGACUCUUGAUCUCAGGGUUGUGAGUUCAAGCCUCAUUCUGGGCU